CCGACCUUCGCAGAUUGAGUGUGAUGUGCUUUCGCGGUUGGUGUUGAUUGACUGGUACCUGUGUAAAUUCAAGCCCUAUCUCCUAAUACGAAACAUAUCUGCUUACAACGAUUUCAUUUAGCGUGUCUUGGAGCAAAAAACACAUUUACGCGUGGCAACUGUGCGAGUAAGACAAUUUUAAACAGUUACUUCCUGGUUGGAGACCGCGGACAGAUAUAAUACGUGAACCUGAGGUGUUGAUAUUAUUAUAUAGUCGAGAUGUCGACAAAUAACGAAGUCUGGCCCGAAGGCACCGAGUGUAUUGCCAGGUACGAGUUCAAAGCUAGUACACCUGAUGAUUUACCCUUCAAGAAAGGAGACGUAAUUACUGUAGUCAGAUCAACUAAGGAUCCAAAUUGGUACAAAGCAAGGAAAGGUGGCAGGGAAGGAUUAAUUCCCAAAAAUUAUGUACAAAAAAGGGAAAAUGUCAAAAUUAGCGCUAUGCCGU